GUGAAUCAUCGAAUUUUUGAACGCAAAUUGCACUCUCUGGUAUUCCGGAGAGUAUGCCUGUUUGAGGGUCAGUUUAAAUAAAAAUCGGUGUGGUUGCUGCCUUUCGUGGUGACGCACCGGAUUUGGGUCGUCUUGCCUUCGGUUAAGCGACCUAAAAUUUUGCAUGAUUUUUUUCGAACGUAUUUAAACGAUUUACCUACCUUUUGCGUUAUCGAUUCUUAGGUGUGGCAAU
rnacentral:misc_RNA from 1 species